CCCUUAGAUGUCCUGGGCCGCACGCGCGUUACACUGAUGCAUUCAACGAGCUUAUAACCUUGGCCGAGAGGCCUGGGCAAUCUUGUUAACGUGCAUCGUGAUAGGGAUAGAUUAUUGAAAUUAUUAAUCUUGAACGAGGAAUUCCUAGUAAACGCAGAUCAUCAAUCUGCAUUGAUUACGUCCCUGCCCUUUGUACACACCGCCCGUCGCUCCUACCGAUGAAUCGUCCGGUGAAGUUCAUGGAGUGGUGGUUGUUCCAGCUGCUGUCGAAGUGAAAUGGACCUCACGAUUUAGAGGAAGGAGAAGUCGUAACA
rnacentral:rRNA from 1 species